rnacentral:lncRNA from 1 species
AAAAAUUAGGACCCAUCCCUACAAAAUUAUUACCCUCACCCUUCUUCCCCAAUUCAUCUCCCCCCACCCCCACAAAACUCUAACUCCUUCACCAUCACAACCUAAUCCCCCACCUCCUUCACCAUCACAACCUAAUCCCCCACCGCCGCCCACUUCCAAGACUAGGCUCACCCACCUAUUUUUCAUUAAAGGAAUCCACGUGGGGGCUUGGAUUGGCACAACCGACUUCCUGGGCGAGCUUCUCAGGUGAGUUUACGGCAAACUCCGGUGACAAGCACAUUCGCCACUAGGAUGAAUUUUUUUGUCAAAUUACUAUACCAACUGUAUCAUACCAAGGUUGUGUCAAAAAAAAUUGUACCAUUGGUAAGGAUACGGUACCAUACCAUACAUUUUCGGUACGGUAAUGGUAAUGAUAUAUCAUACCCUACCGUACCACUACUAUUAAUAUUAUAUCAUUUAUUUAUUCAUUUAUAUAUAUAAUUAGGUAUUAUUAUCAUUAUAUAUGUACUUUAUAUUUUUUUUAUAAUCAUUUAUCCAAUCAUCUCACCCUCUAACUUUUAUUUUCCCAAUAAAAAAGCCUAAGCCUUUUUGCGCUGCGACUCUUCAUCUUUUCACUCAUCUAACCAUCGUCUUCGUCUAUGUUGCUUCCGUUCUGGCAACUCUCUCUCUUCGCAGUCCAUCUCAUAUUCUCCAUCAUCAAAUUGGGAUGUCUUUCUCCCUGAUUUCAUCUAUCAAGUUAAUUUUUGUAUAAUUUUAAAGAAUGUAGAGAUGAAAUUUAGGAAUCUUUGUAUUAUUCUUUUUAGAUAUGUUGGGUUCUUUCAGCAAUUCUUCUAUCUAUUUACUUCUUAUUUUUUAAAUGAAUCUCUAUAAAAUUCUUAUAAUUAAAUAAAAAAAUUUUUAGAAACCCAAAGAGAGUAGUCAAAAUACAUUUGGGCCUUGAAUUGGGUUGGAAAAAAAAAAUUAAAAUUUUGGAAGAAUGAACCAAAAUAAAGUGGUAAUUAUCAUUAUAAUACCUUGCAAACUGAAUUAUUUGGCAUACAGUAUGCUGAAAGUUUAGCACGGUAACAAAUUUUUUCAUACCAAAAGUUUGGUAUGUUAAUUGGUACAUGAGUUUUUGUACGGUAAUCUACCAAUACCACCCCUAGUCGCAACCACCGCCGUUCCACUGCUUUCGGUGCCACAAAUAGGACCACCCAGAUUUCACGCUGUUUGGUCGCCGUUCAUGGUGGAUAGAACUGUGGAUCUCAGGACCAAGCUCAUCAGGUAGUUGCCAUCGGCGGUGUCAACAAUCGAAUCGAGAGGAUUGCGAAUCGCGGUUUGGCACAGCAUAUGGGCAACGGUGAGAAAUGAACUGCUUCUAUCCACGACGACGUCGUUUUCACCACAUGGGGAUCGGGGGUUUGAUUGCCUCAGUCUCCUCCCUGUUAGCUAGCCACGGUCUCUCUGUCGACAUCGGAAAAAUGACGGUGUCUCUUCCCUGCAGCCAAAGCUGGGCAGCAGCUCAACCACAAGAAAAAAGGGCGACUGGGCAAAGCAGCAGCUGCGCUGCGGGAGGAAGAAGAAGGAACAAACAUAACCCUGGGCCAACUAUGUCGUUUGGCCCCAUUCUCUUCAAUUUUUUUUUUUAAUUUCAUAAUAUUCUUUUAUUAAUUUCAAAUAUUUUUAAAUAAUAACAAUUUUUUAUUAAUUUUUUGUCCACGUGGCUCAAACAUGAUAUUCGUAUCAGCAAAGUGUGGGGUUUGCGCUUGUCACGUCAAUAUUUAACAGAAAAGUUGAUGGAUGUAUUACAUUGCAAUGAAUUCGUAAGUUGAUGUAUGACAUUGUAAUGUUUAAAAGAUAAUGUAUGAGAUUGUUAUGCGACAUAAAAUUAAAGUAAUAAAAUGUAAUUUACCCUAUUCUUUUAAACUGGAUAUUAGGACAUCUCUUGAAAACUUUAUGCUAGUUCUCAUCCAUGUUAAGUUAAACUUUGCAUAUUGAAGGAUAGAAAUAUCCAGAUAUUUAUGGAUAAGUAUCCUUUCAUCCAUCAUUAGUGGCCAAGCAGCUCCAAUACCGCAUCCUAGUAGGAUUUCGAAACCAAAUCCUAUACAGCUCGGAGAAAUGAAAGCCAAAAAGAAGCCUUUAGGGCAGUUUCACUUUGAAGGAUUUGAGUUUGGGAAUGGGGUUGGGGCAGUAACUAUUCAUGUGAAUAGUGAACUGCUUUAACCUCUCAAAAUCACUCUUCAUGCAACCAUUUUGAACAGUAAACAGUUAAUAUUUACAAUGGUUAUUGUUUUUCGGCUUUUUAGUCAAAAUGGUUCCUGAGAUUUGCAUAACACAUCACUUUGGUCCUUGAGAUUGAAAAUCAAUAUAAAUGGUCCCUGAAAUUGUCUACCAUCCAUUAUUUUGGUCAUUCCGUUAAAAACUAUGUUAAGUGUCUCGGAGCUCUUAGUCGGAAGUUUGGGCAAUUUUCAAAGCUUCGUAACUCAAUCGUUUCUUAACCAAAUUCAACCCAUAAUAUAUCAAAAUAAAGAUAGGAAAGCGUAGAACAAAAUUAUACCUAUUUGGAAACCCAAUGGUUGCCGGAGAUGGUCGGAAAAUAGCUUGAAAGGUAACUGGUCCGUGAGAAAACUGGAAAACUCGCUAGAAAUUGGGUAAACUUUAAACGUUCAUAACUUCUUCAAUACUCAACAAAAUUGAGUGAUUCAAAAACAAAAAUCAUACUUCUAGACGAGAGGAAGAGAAUGGUACCUUUCUUGAUGGCUAACUCACCGUGGUUUGAUUGGAAAACGGCUCGAAAAUGGCAGUCUUGAUCUCGAGUUAGCCAAUUUCCAGCUAAACCACGGUGAAUUAGCAGUCUAGAAAUGUACCGUUCUCUUUGUCUCGUCGAGAAGUAUGAUUUUCAUUUUUGAAUCACUCAAUUUUGUUUAGUAUUGAAGAAGUUAUGAACGUUUAAAGUUUAAUACAGUCACCUUUCAGGCUAUUUUUAAGCCAUCUCCGGCAACCAUUGGGCUUUCACAUAGGUAUAAUUUUGUUCUACACUUUCCUAUCUUCAUUUUGAUAUAUUAUGAGUUGAAUAUCAGAGUGCGGAACAAACAAGACUAUAAAAUAAUAAGAAUAUUAUUAAACAAACUAAGAAUGCCGAAACAGCUAUAAAACCCUAAAAGACUACAUUAUGAAUGACUUAUUAUUCUACAAGCUAUAAAGCAUCAUAUAUAUAUAUAUAUAUAUAACUAACAUAACCCUAAUAAGCAAGAAAACGAAACCCUAAUACUAACGGGCUAAACCCAAAUUCAAACAAUAAAAUAAUCCUAAAUUCCAACACUCCCCAUCAAACUCAUGGCGGUACACGUGAUGAGUUUGCCAACAAGUAGAUGUAGAUGCAAGCUCUGUUAGGCGAACAAGACAAGACAAGCUCUGUUAGGCGAACACGACAAGGCAAACUUCGUUAGGCGGACACGAUAAGGCAAGCUCUGUUAGGAGGACACGACAAGGCAAGUUCCAUUAGGUAGACAAGACAAGACAAGCAGACGAGCAAUAAAGCGAGCAAACGAACAAUCCAGAUGAACAAACAAAUUCGGGUGGUCACAAGUUCAAGCACUCAAACGAUUGUUGUGGGAUGGGCAACAAGAAGCUCCAAACACAAGCCCAAUAGCAGAAUCACAUGGCCCCCAAUGACUUAAAAACAGCCACCUCCUUUUCUUUCUUUUUUUUUUCCUUCCUUUUUUUCUUUUCUUUUUUUUUUCCCUUAUUUUUUUCUCUUUUUUUCUUCUCUCGUUUUUGUUUUUUCUUCUUCUUCUUUCUCGACUAACAAUACAAAAUCAAAUUGAACUGGAGGUGUGUGGCGCAUUGGUGCCGCCAUGGUGUGAACAAACAGCAGCAAUAAAGUGGUUCUAAGGCAGAGGGUACAGCAGCUGUGCGGUGGUCGUCUGUGCAGCUGUGCAACAAGGAUGUGAUGAGCAGCGGGCAUGCAAUCCUGGGUCAGUCGAAUCUGGGUGAUGGUAUGAAUACGGAUCAACAGAGUUCCUGAUUACAGUGGCAACAUGGGUGGAUGGUGAUGAGUUCGUCUGAUCACGGUGCCGGUGAUCAGAUCGUUGGGAAGGGAAUCGGAACAAGCAUAGCGGUGGACAACAGCAGGUGCAGCGGCGGGCUGGUGGCUUGGCGCGACUCCGGCUCCAAACUUCAACAAAUCUUUUCCUUUUUUAACGACAAACAAAGGUUAACCCAAACAUUUUAUAUUUGUCAGAUUACUCAUUAAUAUAUCUAGUAACUACAGUCUACUACGCACAUCAAAAAAGCAAAGGAACUGGGCUGUAAACAAUGGAAAUGUAAUAUUUGUAGUGUUACUCGUUUCAUAUUUGUCAGAUUAAUUAUAAGAAAAACUAAUGAAAAUGAUUUGAAAAUUUUGAGUUUUAACGAUAAGAACAAAAUAAAGGGUAAAGUAGAUAAUACCAGGAUUGAUUUUUUAGUGUAAAAAUGUGAUUUUUUUGUUAGAGUGGACAAUACCAGGAGUUUUCGUUAAAGUUCCCUUAAUUAUAAGGAAAACUAAUGAAAAGGGUUUGAAAACUUUGAGUUUUAAUGAUAAGAACAAAAUAAAGGGUAAAGUGAAUAGUACCAAGAUUGACUUUUUAGUGUAAAAAUAUGGUCUUUCGUUAAAGUGAACAGUACCGGAUGUUUUUCGUUAAAG